rnacentral:rRNA from 1 species
AUACGGAGGGUGCAAGCGUUACUCGGAAUCACUGGGCGUAAAGCGCGCGCAGGCGGCUUGAUAAGUUGGAUGUGAAAGCCUACGGCUCAACCGUAGAACUGCAUCCAAAACUGUCAGGCUAGAGUGUGGGAGAGGAAGAUGGAAUUAGUUGUGUAGGGGUAAAAUCCGUAGAGAUAACUAGGAAUACCAAAAGCGAAGGCAAUCUCCUGGAACACUCCUGACGCUGAGGCGCGAAAGCGUGGGGAGCAAACAGGAGUAGAUACCCCGGUAGUCC